rnacentral:piRNA from 1 species
GAACGUCCGUGGUUCAAGGGGAGCCUGC